UACGGGGGGGGGCAAGCGUUGUUCGGAAUUACUGGGCGUAAAGGGCUUGUAGGCGGCCAACUAAGUCCGACGUGAAAUCCCCAGGCUUAACCUGGGAACUGCGUCGGAUACUGGAUGGCUUGAAUUCGGGAGAGGGAUGCAGAAUUCCAGGUGUAGCGGUGAAAUGCGUAGAUAUCUGGAGGAAUACCGGUGGCGAAGGCGGCAUCCUGGACCGACAUUGACGCUGAGGAGCGAAAGCAUGGGGAGCGAACAGG
rnacentral:rRNA from 1 species